rnacentral:rRNA from 1 species
UACGUAGGGACCGAGCGUUGUCCGGAUUCAUUGGGCGUAAAGAGCUCGUAGGCGGCCACUCAAGUCGAAUGUGAAACCUCGAGGCUCAACCUCGAGCCUGCAUUCGAUACUGGGCGGCUAGAGUCUGGUAGGGGGAGUCUGGAAUUCCUGGUGUAGCGGUGGAAUGCGCAGAUAUCAGGAGGAACACCGGUGGCGAAGGCGGGAUCCUGGGCCAGUACUGACGCUGAGGAGCGAAAGCGUGGGGAGCAAACAGG